rnacentral:misc_RNA from 1 species
UACAGAGGGUCCAAGCGUUAAUGGGAAUUACUGGGCGUAAAGCGCGCGUAGGUGGUUUGUUAAGUUGGAUGUGAAAGCCCGGGGCUCAACCUGGGAACUGCAUCGAAAACUGGCAAGCUAGGGGACGGUAGAGGGGGGUGGAAUUUCCUGUGUAGCGGUGAAAUGCGUAGAUAUAGGGAGGAACACCAGUGGCGAAGGCGACCACCUGGACUGAUACUGACACUGAGGUGCGAAAGCGUGGGGAGCAAACAGG